UACAGAGGGUGCGAGCGUUAAUCGGAUUUACUGGGCGUAAAGCGUGCGUAGGCGGCUUUUUAAGUCGGAUGUGAAAUCCCUGAGCUUAACUCAGGAAUUGCAUUCGAUACUGGGAAGCUAGAGUAUGGGAGAGGAUGGUAGAAUUCCAGGUGUAGCGGUGAAAUGCGUAGAGAUCUGGAGGAAUACCGAUGGCGAAGGCAGCCAUCUGGACUAAUACUGACGCUGAGGUACGAAAGCAUGGGGAACAAACAGG
rnacentral:rRNA from 1 species